GAUGAACGCUGGCGGCGUGCCUAAUACAUGCAAGUCGAGCGAACGGACGAGAAGCUUGCUUCUCUGAUGUUAGCGGCGGACGGGUGAGUAACACGUGGAUAACCUACUUAUAAGACUGGGAUAACUUCGGGAAACCGUAGCUAAUACUGGAUAAUAUUUUGAACCGCAUGGUUCAAAAGUGAAAGACGGUCUUGCUGUCACUUAUAGAUGGAUCCGCGCUGCAUUAGCUAGUUGGUAAGGUAACGGCUUACCAAGGCAACGAUGCAUAGCCGACCUGAGAGGGUGAUCGGCCACACUGGAACUGAGACACGGUCCAGACUCCUACGGGAGGCAGCAGUAGGGAAUCUUCCGCAAUGGGCGAAAGCCUGACGGAGCAACGCCGCGUGGGUGAUGAAGGUCUUCGGAUCGUAAAACUCUGUUAUUAGGGAAGAACAUAUGUGUAAGUAACUGUGCACAUCUUGACGGUACCUAAUCAGAAAGCCACGGCUAACUACGUG
rnacentral:rRNA from 1 species